rnacentral:lncRNA from 10 species
CAGCAUGGAGAGCAGAGCGCAAAGAUUUCUUCCGGACUCCCACAUUCCCCUUGGAAUCCAAGAACUGGUCUACUGUCACAACACUUUAGUACCCUCUUCUCCCAAGGAGGCAGCAGAAACUGGGGUAAUCACAACGGUCAACAGCAGCAAAGGCAGCACUUUCUGAUUUACUUGACUGCUAUGGAUGCCACCUCUCUCCACGCCUCAGUUUAAUAUCUGUAAGUUUGGUCAGUAUCUCAUUCAAGAACAUUGCAUUUACUCUGGUACUUAAAGAUGAAAAAUCAACAUUUACAAAGCAGAUCCAUUGUCAACCUAAAUAACAAACAAAGAGAGUCUCUAUAAAAGAAAAGAAUAUUUAUUUGGGAAUAGAGCAUUGCAUAGGAAUAUGCCUGCCUUAGUAAUGCAUGUAUUCAGGGAGGUAGAGGAAGACAAAGGUUUUUAACAGAAAAAAUGUGGAGAAUUACAUAAUUGUUUUGAAAUAAUUAUCCUUGGCUAUAAAGAUCAAUAACAAGGGUGAUGCGAGUC